UGUCCCAUAGCUCAAUGGCAGAGCAUUCGGCUGUUAACCGAAGGGUUGUUGGUUCGAGUCCAACUGGGACAG
rnacentral:tRNA from 1 species